GAUGAACGCUGGCGGAGUGCCUAAUACAUGCAAGUCGAGCGGCAGCACGAGUAGUUUACUACUUGGUGGCGAGCGGCGGACGGCUGAGUAACGCGUAGGAACGUGCCCCAAAGUGAGGGAUAAGCUCCAGAAAUGGAGUCUAAUACCGCAUAUGAUCUUCGGAUUAAAGUAUUUAUACGCUUUGGGAGCGGCCUGCGUCCGAUUAGAUAGUUGGUGAGGUAAAGGCUCACCAAGUCGACGAUCGGUAGCUGGUCUGAGAGGAUGAUCAGCCAGACUGGGACUGAGACACGGCCCAGACUCCUACGGGAGGCAGCAGUAAGGAAUCUUCCACAAUGGGGGCAACCCUGAUGGAGCAACUCCGCGUGCAGGAUGAAGGUCUUCGGAUCGUAAACUGCUUUUAUAAGUGAAGAAUAUGACUGUAACUUAUGAAUAAGGAUCGGCUAACUACGUGCCAGCAGCCGCGGUCAUACGUAGGAUCCGAGCGUUAUCCGGAGUGACUG
rnacentral:rRNA from 1 species